UUUUUCUUUUGGAGACAGAGUCUCGCUCUGUCACCCAGGGUGAAGUGCAGUGGCACAAUCUCGGCUCACUGCAACCUCUGCCUCCCGGGUUCAAGCCAUUCUCCUGCCUCAGCCUCCCAAGUAGCUGGGACUACAGGCGCACGCCACAACACCCAGCUAAUUUUUUGUAUUUUAUUAGAGACAGGGUUUCACCGUGUUGCCCAGGCUGUCUGUCCUUGAACUCCUGAACUCAAGCAAUCCGCCCGCCUCAGCCUCCCAAAGUGCUAGGAUUACAGGGGUGAGCCAC
rnacentral:lncRNA from 10 species